CAAAUGCAUUUACAAACUUAAAGCAUAAACAAUAUUCACUUACCCCUCCAGGUAAGGGCUCUCAAUCCCAGGGAAUUUACCUCGACCGGCGUCCCGAUCAAGGGGGGGAAGGCAUGUGUGUGUUUC